GUGUCAGCCGCCGCGGUAAUACGAAGGUGGCAAGCGUUGUUCGGAUUCACUGGGCGUACAGGGAGCGUAGGCGGUUGGGUAAGCCCUCCGUGAAAUCUCCGGGCCUAACCCGGAAAGUGCAGAGGGGACUGCUCGGCUUGAGGACGGGAGAGGAGCGCGGAAUUCCCGGUGUAGCGGUGAAAUGCGUAGAGAUCGGGAGGAAGGCCGGUGGCGAAGGCGGCGCUCUGGAACGUUUCUGACGCUGAGGCUCGAAAGCGUGGGGAGCAAACAGGAUUAGAAACCCUCGUAGUCC
rnacentral:rRNA from 1 species